rnacentral:lncRNA from 1 species
AUAAAUCAAGGCCUUGACAACUGUAAAGGUCUCAUGUUUAUCCCCCUCAAAUCAUCUAAUUAUACUAAGACGAUAACAAAUGAUUCUUUGAAGGAGAAAAAGUCGAAGGAGUAGAUUUUGAGGGAUAAGCACAGCUAAAUCAAAUGGUUUGGAUGAAGGCAGAAGAGACUUUGAUUCCCAAUGACUCAUCUCUUUAUUUCAGCACCUUGUUCCAGGCAAGGCAUUUGGUAGAGCAGUAUUUUGUGCCCAAGAAUGAAAUUUUCACAUCAAUCCCAGAUUUACAUGACUAAAUUACUGCAAUUUCUGGGUAAAUAGUGGCUUCCCAAAGUUCUGGCUGUUUUCCUGUGUGACAACAUUCUGAAAAUUCCUCAAGGGUUUGGCCUCCAUUAAUUUCAAUUCAAGACUCAUCCCUCCUAGUCUAUAUCCCUCAGAAUAGUUUUUAAAAAUUUAGGUCCCCUCAAAAUGAGCCACUACCACUAACAGGAAGCACAGAAAAAAAAAAAAGACUUCUAGCCUCCUUCUAGAGAAAUCUGGGCCCUGGGAUAGAGAGGAUUGGAGGAGUCUCAGUUUUCCAGUCCAAUUUUGAUUUUACAAAUAGGGAGAGUGAAGUCUGUAGAAUGGACUUGCUCACAGAGUCCAAAGACAUCAAUGUAGAAGUAAAACUUCACCAGGUCUAGUUCCAAAGACCAGGCUCUUCCAAAUACCCCACAGUGUCCUCCAGUUUACCGCCUGAAUAUUAGUUUUCUUUUCAAUCAAAUGAGAUAGGUGUUGGAAGGCUUCUAGAUCCAUAAUUAUGUUUUUGGAUCACUAGAGAACAAGUAACUCUUUUAUUAUUACCUUAAUACUGGUAAUUCACUGAUUAAUACUGCUAAAUCUAUAAAAGCUUCAGUGCCCUAAUCUCAACUUUUUUAUUUCACAAAAAUGGGAUAACAAUACCUAUGUUACUGAAAUGUCAUAAUGGUUAAGUGAUAUGAUGGAAGUGGAAGUGUUUUGAAGGCAAUAAAGUAACCACAAGGAUGAUACAGGAAGAGGGAAAGGAAGAAGAAUCUUUUCUCCAGUCUCGUCCUUCCUCCUUCAUUUGCUAAGUGCCUGAAGGAGCAUCUUUUUCACAAGAGUCAAGAUCUGCCUGAGACUCACUCACAAGUCAAUCAACAGAAUAGGGAAUAAAAUUCAUGGAAUAAGAACACAACUUUAUCACUUUUGUCUCCUGUCUGGUUUUGUUAACCAGCAUCAGGGAAAAAAAUCAACAGAGGCAGUGAGUGGGCCUCUCUAAAAAGGCCUUUCCAUCUGGUGCAGCAUGGAAACCAUCAGCCCUGUAAUUAAAAUGCAAUUGCCAUCCCCUGCCGCAAUCCCAGGAUGGCUAUUCCAUCUGAAUGAGAUAUAGGGGGGAAAGCACCAUUUUUUGCACUAUUCUGGCUCCAUUAAGUUUAUUCUCUUCCUAUUAAUUAAUCUAACUACACUAGGGGCUCCUCCUUACUCUGCAAACCAGGGUGGCACAAACCACACAUGGGAUAUCGGAAAUGACAUGAAUUUUUAAAACUCAAUGCCCGCCCCCACUACAGAAAGGCUUAAUUACUUCUGACUAAAUCUGUAAUUAAAAUAUAUCACUGGAGUAGAUUCACCUGCAUGUGUAGGUGUUGGUGUACCCGCCUGUGUGACAGGCUGAGAUGAAUCACCCAGAGACAGCGUGCAGGGAAUGAAAUUGUGCUCGGUGGCACAAUGAUUCUGAGAGAGAACUUGAAGAGGAAAGUUAGAAAAAGUGGGAAAAUAUACAAGAGAAAUCCAGUGAAGUCUUACAUUAGAAAUAAAAGUGAUAACAUAUCCAAAGGCUAAUCAUGACAGUGAAGCCAUUUGCUGGGGUGAAAGUAAACUAUAAUAGGUGGUGACAGGGAAUGAGGUUGAAUGUUGAAGGCAGCCAAAGGUAGAAGGAAAAGCAAUGAUGAAGGCGAGCCAAGGUUGUAGUUAUAUAGCAUGAGCCAUAGAGGAAAGACGAAACUAGAAACAGGAAAGUGGGGAAAAGGUUGAAAACCCAAGAAGAUAGAUUCAGAAAUAGAGCAAUGAGCAGUGUGUGCUUGGGUCUCCACUUUAAAUGUUGUCUAGAUGUGUUAUACAGUAAGGCAUGGGAGAUUAAAUGAUAUAUUUCAGACCAGAGCAUUAUAAGAAAGAAAAGUACUGAAUUAUUCAAUAAAGGGGUCUAGUACUGGUUCUGCUACACAUAAUUCAUCUGGUCCUGGAUAAGUCACCUCCCGUUAGGGCAAUUCCCUUGUCUGUAAAGUGGGAGCAAUAAUAUUGAUCUUAUGUACUGACCCACUGUAAACAUCUAUGCAUCCAUGAAAGCACAAGUCACAUCAACUCUAAGAUGAGCAGUACCACCUGGAGUUGUGCAAUGCGAGAUUACUAUGAAAUCUGAAUAUGGCUUGAAAAGGGAAGGCUCUUUGCAGUAAAAAAUAUGUAUAAAUGCUUUGUAUUUUUAGGUUGUAUGACAUUAAGCUACAUACUGUCCUUUUUUGAGUUUAUUCAUAUUGAUAGUAAAGAUGUUGAACUAGAUGAUAUUUUUAAAGGCUUUUUCAAUUCUAAUAUUAAUAGUAUAAUAACUUGGAUUUCAUUCAUUCACUCAUUCAACCAAAAUUCAACUGGGCCCUAAGCCAGGUGCCGAAAAUUAAAAAUAAUUGAGGAAUAUUCCUUUCCUCUAGUGGAUGUUAUACUAUAUAAGGUCCUUUUAGGUAAGGCAAUUGAUGCUUUUCAAUUGUAUUUUUCUAGGCCCUAAUUUCAAGCACAAUGAUUGAAUUAUAACACUCCAAAAUAUUCAGCUAAUAAGAAUAAGGAACUGCAAAAUUUAAAGGACAUUUAAAAUUAAGCAAAGUCUCAUCUUUAGACAAAUAGAAUUAUUCUGAAAGUUGUCAGAUUAUUUUAACAGGGAGUACUGGACUGGGAUUCAGAUCAACUGAGCUCCAGUCUCAGCUCUACUUCUAAACACUAUGAUACCUGAGUCAAGUCACUUAGUCUCCCACGGCAUCAGCUUCCUACUGAUCAAAUAAGAGAUUGGGCCAACCCAGAGGGUCUUUGAGCUUAAAGCUUUGGGAUCUAUAUUUUAACUAGACCACUAUCAAGCCAUUUUUAAUAAUUUUGCCUUGGAGUACACACAACACAUAAAUAUGUUGGCAAAAUACACUUACCUGAAAAAUGCCCAAAUCCUUUCUGACAUCUCAUAAAUUACCCUUAAGUACUGCAAAUAAUUGAUAAUUCCUGAUAAACCAAAUAAGAGUUGUAAACAUUACAUUUACAGACAUAUUAAGUUACCAUUGAACCAGUUCUUCCAAACUGCUUUAUAGUAAUUUUGAUUUAAACUGCUUCGGAGAAGCUAAACA